rnacentral:sRNA from 1 species
UUGGGUCGAUAUACAUAUACGACAUUAGGGAGCAGUGUGAAGAGUCGGUCUAGGUUUCAGCAGCAACAGGUAGCGAGCAGAGAUACCCACGCAUUCAUUACUACAGAGGGAAAUUAUAAUCUUGGAUUUUGUUGUGUUUCUUGUUGAAUUCGUUCUGUUCUGAGAGCAUCACCAUAUAAGGAGAUUUCAUAUGCUUGAAAAUAGCUAUCUACACAACAAACAAGUACUGAUUGAAAUACUUGCGAGGAGACAAAGAAGACUGAACGACAAAUAAUUCAGAAUGACUUUCCCUAAGAGAAUGAUUUUAAGUUUGACACUUGCAGUAUUACUACUAGGAAUAACGAAUACUACCAGCCUGACAGGAACUACAGAAACCACCAUCAUGCCAUCUGAUUCUGCAACCAUCAUGCCAUCUGGUUCUGCAACCAUCAUGCCAUCUGGUUCUGGAACCAUCAUGUCAUCUAGUUCUGAAACCGCCCAAACCGUUAGUACUAUGAGUACCUCGGCAUCUGCAACAUUUUCAAUAUCUCCUUCCUCAACCGACUCAACAUUAAGAACUGAUUUGGCGGAUGCCAGUUCUUUAACCCCUCUCC